rnacentral:rRNA from 1 species
GUCUAUUUCCAUGCCACCCUGAAUAAGCCUGAUCCCAUCUGAUCUCAGAAGCUAAGCAAGAUCAGGCUUGGUUAGUACUUGGAUGAGAGACCAUCUAGGAAGAACAGGUGCUGUAGGCA